GGGGAGGAAAACCCACCGACAUUUGUCAGCUCCCCCACGGGGAACCUCUUCCACAUUCGGUCCCCAUGCACUCCCCUCAACAUUCCUCAUGGGCCUUGUCAUCCUCCUUUUAGUAAAAAGUGAAGGAACUCAGGCCCAGAGAGGUUACCCUGCUGAAGCUCCUUCGGCCGUUUGUGGCUGAGCCAGGGCGAGCAUCCAGCCCAGGUCUACAGCUCACCAUCCGUCCGUCCAUCCUUCCUUCCCCAGCCAGGCCAGGAGGCCCAACUCACUCUUCUCUGACCCAAGAGGCUGGAGCAAACCAGGCUUCCUGUGGUUUUGUUUUAGUUUUUCUACACUUCUCAUUAAGGGAAUUUUCAUGCAUAUCCAAAAAUAGACAGGAUGACAUAAUUAGCUCCACGUGCCCGCCGUCACCCAGCCUCAAGGCUUAGCGUUUCCUGUUUCAUCUCCGCCCUGCCACUUCAUCUUCAUUUUCCUCUUAUAAUGCUAUGCAUCUUAAGCAAACUCUAGAGUCCUCUCACCACGCCCCAAAUGACCUCACUGUCUUCACCAGGCAUUCUCUCAGGCUCUCGUUCUGUAGGAGCAAACUCAGACCCUGCUCUCCGCCAUUCUGAUGAAGUCAUGGAAGCCCAGAGAGGCGAGGGACAUCACACAGCACGUCCCUCGUGGGUGGGAAGGAGCGAACCGCACUCAGCAGGUCAUCGCCCCUGUGCCACCUGGACCAAACCAGGAGGUGGGCAUGGGUGACAAGACCAGCCCAGGGUACUGUCCUCCACUCGUCUCCUCAGCCGCAGUAUUUUGUGAAUCCAACCACCUGGUGUGGAAAGGGAAGAGAAAUGAAUAAGAAACUCAAGCUACCAGUUACCACCAACUUUAUUUUUAGAAACUGCAGUAUGAGAUGCAAUAUGAAUGUCUCUAGAAUACCAAGUAGGGGAAAUGAUAAAUCGAUGCCUCCGAAUUGUAUGAAAUGCAAGAAAACCAUCCAAGUGACUCAGAGGAGCCCGGGGGAGGGACUUGAUCAGGACUCGGAACAGCCGCAGGGCUUUCAAUUCAGCCACAAAUGGGUCGUGUAAUGACAGCCUCCGGGACGGGUCCAGCUCUCCUCCACAGCCUCCAGAAUCGUUUGAAAGGCAGCAGGGGGAGCAGCGAGGGGUCAGCGCUUCAAGGGCCCCCAAACUCAGCUAGAACAGGGCUCCAGCUCCUGCUCCCGGAAUGAGGACCCUCAGGGGCAGCAGAGGGACCAUGGAGGGCCUUCGGGGGUGCGACCAGGUGUGUUACUCGAGCCGGGAGAGCUGAGCGUCAGCCCUCUCACAGACACCAUCCUGGGGCAGCCGGCGCGAGCCCCAGCAGGGGACGGACUGUGAACCAAGCGUGCGCUCUCUCCUGACCUCCUUGGCAAGCCCCCUCUGCAGAGGGCCGUUCCGCCAGCCCCAGCUGUAUGUCACUUAGGCUUAUAACGUGUCUGCUCCUCGUGAGUCCCUGAAAAGUCCUCCCAUCUCUCUGGUCCUCUGUAGCGGUCAUAGCGUAUUCUGCCAAAUAUUUCCAGUUCUCACCUCUUCUAAGCACACACAGCGAUGGCACUGCCAGCCCUCUGCCUUCCUCGGCCAACAUAUUGUGAGUGGGGGUGACGCGUGUCACUUCUGGCUGCUCGAUAAGCCUACCUGAGCUGUGAGGCAGAGCCCCCCGACGGUCCCUGACGGUCCCCAACGGUCCCAGCCACGUGACCUAGAGGACGGAAGGGCUGGUGGGCGGCAGUGAGGGAACUACUACCAGAGGCAGGAAGACGGUAAUUCUCAGGCAGUGGCGACUCGCCCGGCGAACCUGUCACCUGCGUAUCCGUGGGCGGCAGACCUUCCACGGAUGAAAGAGGAGAGAGAGAGAACAAAUCCAGGAACUUGCAAGGUUCGAAAGAAGCAGCAGCUUCUCCAACACCAACAGCAAAGCGAGAAGACUGAGAAACACCCGGAGGAAGGAACGCUGAGUAAACGCAGCCAUUUUCAAGAACGACAUCAAGGCGUGGGCUUGCAUCCAUUUCUAAAACCUCUGAGUGGAUCAAGGUGAUGCCCAGUGAAUCAUUCCAGGUGGGCACAAGCAAAGAGAAGAAGGCGGUGGCUCUCCCAUCUAAGCUUCAUGGCUUCGAGAGACUAGCCAUUCUCUCUCCAUAAUUGCAGGAAAGAAGCCGACUGCAUUCUUAAGAGGGUGGUCCCACCAAAGAAACUGCAAACCUGGAAGGAAAUAGUCAAUUCUCAUUAUUUGCAGUAGUUAUAUUCUAUAGACUCUGCAUGGACACGGAAUUAGCGAUAUUGAGCCGUCACUCCCGAGGGAAAUACAGCCUUUUGUUUUUGCAAGCCUCUGGUCACACCAUUUUCGUCAAUCAAUCCUCACCCUUGUUUGGUGUGUGCUGUUCUGCCUUUCCCCACAUAAGGCACUGAAGGCUGUCAUCCCAUGCCUGUCCUUCCAUUUUAUAUUGAAAGGGGGAGGACAACUUGUCUUUUCAUUUCACAAUCAAGAAGCGGCCCAUCUGGACCCAAUGGGGACCCUGGGCAUCACCCCCAGUCAAUGCAGACUCCCCCAUACCACCCAGAGAGCCUUAGAGCUUGGUGCAGGGCUGAGGGGGAGCUCUGGGGUGGCGAGGGAGGGCGUAUCCUUCCUCUGGAGGCGAGUGAACCCUGCCCCAUGGCUGGACGCAUGGGCACUGGUGCCGCUCAGCUCCUUCAGCUUCUCUCCACUCUGGGGGUGUGGUAGGUGACUCAGAUGGGUUCCCGGGGUGCAGGCUGUGAGACAGAACUUAGCGUGCAGGGCGUUUAUUAGAAAGUGCCCUUGGGACCAGCAGCUGUGAGAAGGAGGGGACAGAGAAGGACACGGCAAAGGAGAAGUGGAACUGCAGUGCAGACCAGACACCCCUGGUUCCCCCAUGCAGAAAUCUGAAACAAAAGUGGCCCCUGGGGUUGGCCGACGUUGGCCGAAACAGCAAAGCCUCAUCCUCCCUACUGGGUUGCUGAGCGCCUCGUCCGUGGUGGAUGCUCUCUGGGAGUGUUAACCCACUACAGAAGGAUCUCCACACCUCCUGUCCACUCCCAUAUUGCCCACCCCAUGCCUCAGCCCCAGACCCCCUUGUCCCUGCUCUUCACAUCUCUCCACGUCCCCACCUCUGUUCAGCAGGCCAAGUCACUUGCCAUUGCUUAUGAGUUCAAAUAUCUCCUAACCUUGGGGCUACUUCUUUUUCCACGCAGAGUGGAGGACCAGAUGGACCCAAAGCUCUGCCCAUUGGGAGAAUUUUCCCUCCUCGCUCUAUUUAAAGGACGACCUGAGUGAGGCUGUUCUGUGGCAGCCGUGCAGCUUCGGCUGGCCCCACAGAUUGGACGGACCCAUCCAUAAACCAAG
ensembl:lncRNA